NNNNNNNNNNNNNCGAUCCGAACCUGAUCCAGCUGGUUCCGCCUGAGCAUAAGCGUCUGCAAAGACCGCCACCGAGCAAAGUGUUUGUGCCCAACCUGCCAGACCGCCAGAGCAAAGAGCCAGUCCGAGCCGCCGACCGACAAAUGCCAACAAAACAACACCACGAUAACGCUGAAGAGCCGCCUGGAGCUGUUGAUGGUGAAACUCCACCAGCCCCCAGAGCAGGAGACGUUGUAGCGACUGAGACACGUUAAGUUAUGCUAGCACAAGAGUGACACUGUGAAACGAUGACGACAGCGCGAAGGUGAAACUGUGAACUGCGAGAGCAGAAUGCCAGAACCUUGAGAGCAUGGGCCAGAGCCAAUCAGUAAGAGCCCGAGCCAUGACGAUAAGCCAGUGAGUGCCAAUGAGCCAAUAAGAGCUAGGUGUUAUGCCAAUGAGAGCCGGAGCUGAAUUGAGCCAGAGCCAAUAAGAGCAGAGAGAUCCAGAGCCAACGAGCCAGAUCUAAAGAGUCAGAUCUCCACAGAGGAGCCAUACUAAAGGCAGUCGGAAGUUGAUCUUCUUGAUCCAAGAUUCGCAUUCAGAAAGGAUGUAGGCAGUCGAACCUCGACACGAGGAUGUAGACUAUACCGAACCUUUUAGUCUAUAGAAAAGAGGAUGUAAGCGGUGAGCUGAACCUCUGGGGUUAAUAUAUUAUGGACCAUGAAGUCCCACCCAAAUU
rnacentral:misc_RNA from 1 species